UGGGCAACCUGCCCUCAGCUCUGGGAUAACUCCGGGAAACCGGGGCUAAUACCGGAUACGACUUGGGUCGACAUCGACCUGGGUGGAAAGAAUUUCGGCUGAGGAUGGGCCCGCGGCCUAUCAUGCUUGAUGGUGAGGUAACGGCCCACCAUGGCGACGACGGGUAGCCGGCCUGAGAGGGUGACCGGCCACACUGGGACUGAGACACGGCCCAGACUCCUACGGGA
rnacentral:rRNA from 1 species